rnacentral:rRNA from 1 species
GAGGCCUAACACAUGCAAGCCGGGCGGGAUCCCUUCGGGGUGAGAGCGGCGUACGGGUGAGGAGCACGUGUGCAACCUGCCCCUGUCUGGGGGAUAGCCCUCCGAAAGGAGGAUUAACACCCCAUAGGAUGUUCGCCGGCAUCGGCGGUCAUUGAAAGGUUACGGACGGGGAUGGGCACGCGCAGGAUUAGGUAGUUGGCAGGGUAACGGCCUACCAAGCCUUUGAUCCUUAGGGGGCCUGAGAGGGUGAUCCCCCACACUGGUACUGAGACACGGACCAGACUCCUACGGGAGGCAGCAGUGAGGAAUAUUGGACAAUGGGUGGAAGCCUGAUCCAGCCAUCCCGCGUGAAGGACUAAGGGCCUAUGGCCUGUAAACUUCUUUUGUACGGGGAUAAACCUAUCUACGCGUAGAUAGCUGAAGGUACCGUACGAAUAAGCACCGGCUAACUCCGUGCCAGCAGCCGCGGUAAUACGGAGGGUGCGAGCGUUAUCCGGAUUUAUUGGGUUUAAAGGGUCCGUAGGCGGGCCUGUAAGUCGGAGGUGAAAUCCCGCGGCUCAACCGCGGAACCGCCUUCGAUACUGCGGGUCUUGAGUAGGCUUGAGGCGGCCGGAAUGAGUGGUGUAGCGGUGAAAUGCAUAGAUAUCACUCAGAACACCGAUAGCGAAGGCAGGUCGCCAAGGCCUUACUGACGCUGAUGGACGAAAGCGUGGGGAGCGAACAGGAUUAGAUACCCUGGUAGUCCACGCCGUAAACGAUGCUCACUCGUUCUCGGGCGUUAUCGUUCGGGGGCUAAGCGAAAGUGAUAAGUGAGCCACCUGGGGAGUACGGGCGCAAGCCUGAAACUCAAAGGAAUUGACGGGGGCCCGCACAAGCGGUGGAUUAUGUGGUUUAAUUCGAUGAUACGCGAGGAACCUUACCAGGGCUUAAAUGGGGGCCGACCGGCGCAGAGAUGCGCCUUUCUUCGGACGGUCUUCAAGGUGCUGCAUGGUUGUCGUCAGCUCGUGCCGUGAGGUGUUAGGUUAAGUCCUGCAACGAGCGCAACCCCUGCCGCCAGUUGCCAUCAUUAAGUUGGGGACUCUGGCGGGACUGCCUACGCAAGUAGCGAGGAAGGCGGGGACGACGUCAAAUCAUCACGGCCCUUACGCCCUGGGCCACACACGUAAUACAAUGGCCGGUACAGAGGGCAGCCACGCGGCGACGCGGAGCGAAUCUCGAAAGCCGGUCUCAGUUCGGAUUGGAGUCUGCAACUCGACUCUAUGAAGCUGGAAUCGCUAGUAAUCGCGCAUCAGCCAUGGCGCGGUGAAUACGUUCCCGGGCCUUGUACACACCGCCCGUCAAGCCAUGGAAGUCCGGGGUACCUGAAGUCGGUGACCGUAAAAGGAGCUGCCUAGGGUAAAACGGGUAACUAGGGCUAAGUCGUAACAAGGUAGCCGUACCGGAAGGUGCGGCUGGAACAUCUCAUUUUAGAGGCUUUAUCAAGUCAAUAAGCACACGGUCCUUCAUGGGCCCCGCGCGCCGGGGGGCGCCGCCCG